AGAGCGAACGCUGGCGGCAGGCCUAACACAUGCAAGUCGAGCGGCCGUAGCAAUACGGCAGCGGCAGACGGGAUAGUAACACGUGGGAACGUACCCUUCAGUUCGGAACAACCCAGGGAAACUUGGGCUAAUACCGAAUACGUCCGUAAGGAGAAAGAUUUAUCGCUGAGGGAUCGGCCCGCGUCUGAUUAGCUAGUUGGUGAGGUAACGGCCCACCAAGGCGACGACGGGUAGCC
rnacentral:rRNA from 1 species